ACGGGGCCCGCACAAGCAGUGGAGUAUGUGGUUUAAUUCGAAGCAACGCGAAGAACCUUACCAGGGCUUGACAUCCCUUGAAGCAGCUAGAGAUAGAAAGUUACUUCGGUACAUCGGUGACAGGUGGUGCAUGGUUGUCGUCAGCUCGUGUCGUGAGAUGUUGGGUUAAGUCCCGCAACGAGCGCAACCCCUAUUGUUAGUUGCCAUCAUUCAGUUGGGCACUCUAGCGAGACUGCCGGUAAUAAACCGGAGGAAGUGGGAUGACGUCAAAUCAUCAUGCCCCUUAUGACCUGGGCUACACACGUGCUACAAUGGUUGGUACAACGAGUUGCGAGUCGGUGACGGCGAGCUAAUCUCUUAAAGCCAAUCUCAGUUCGGAUUGUAGGCUGCAACUCGCCUACAUGAAGUCGGAAUCGCUAGUAAUCGCGGAUCAGCACGCCGCGGUGAAUACGUUCUCGGGGUUU
rnacentral:rRNA from 1 species